AUUGAACGCUAGCGGGAUGCUUUACACAUGCAAGUCGAACGAGUGGCGGACGGGCGAGUAAUAUAUCGGAACGUGCCCAGUAGCGGGGGAUAACUACUCGAAAGAGUGGCUAAUACCGCACACUAUUGGAGCGGCCGAUAUCGGAUUAGCUAGUUGGUGGGGUAAAGGCCCACCAAGGCAACGAUCCGUAGCAGGUUUGAGAGGUCGACCAGCCACGCUGGGACAAAGACAGGGCCCAGACUCCGAGGGGAGGCGGCAGUGGGGAAUUUUGGACAAGGGGGGAAACCAUGAUCCAGCCAUCCCGGGUGUGUGAGAAGGCCUUCGGGUUGAAAAGUACUUUGGGCAGAAAAGCGGUAUCAGCAGAAUAAGCACCGGCUAACUACGUGCCAGCAGCCGCGGUAAUAC
rnacentral:rRNA from 1 species